AGAGUUUGAUCAUGGCUCAGAACUAACGCUGGCGGCGCGUCUUAAACAUGCAAGUCGAACGGCAGCACUUCGGGUGGCGAGUGGCGAACGGGUGAGUAACACGUAGGUAAUUUGCCCACGGGCGGGGGAUAACCACUCGAAAGAGUGGCUAAUACCGCGUAACAUCAUAACUACUACGGUGGCUAUGAUCAAAGCAGCAAUGCACCUGUGGAGAAGCCUGCGUCCGAUUAGAUAGUUGGUGAGGUAAUGGCUCACCAAGUCAGCGAUCGGUAGCCGGCCUGAGAGGGUGAACGGCCACACUGGAACUGGGACACGGUCCAGACUCCUACGGGAGGCAGCAGUUAAGAAUCUUGCGCAAUGGAGGCAACUCUGACGCAGCGACGUCGCGAGUAUGAUGAAGGCCCUCGGGUUGUAAAGUACAACAAAUAGGGAAGAAGCAAGUAACGGUACCUAUCUGAAGCACCGGCUAACUACGUGCCAGCAGCCGCGGUAAUACGUAUGGUGCAAGCGUUGUUCGGAAUUACUGGGCGUAAAGGGUGCGCAGGCGGAUAGAUCAGUCGGAAGUGAAACCUGAGGGCUCAACCCUCAGCCUGCUUUCGAAACUUUCUAUCU
rnacentral:rRNA from 1 species